UAAAUUUCAACCUUUAAUUUACCCAUUAAGUACAACCGUAAGAUCAUUAUAAUCCAACGACCACCGUUUCCCUUUUCUCCCAUCUCUCUCAUUCUCUCCACUACACCAACCGCCCCCUUUCCCUUCCUCAUCAUCCCUCACUUUCCUCAUAGUCGCAAAUCUCGCCAUUGUUUUCAUUUUCUCAUCACCUCCUUUCUCAUGGUAUGAUUUGAAACCCUAACACAAAAGAGUGUCGAUUUCAACUGGCACCACUUCAUUUCUCAUCAUCGCCUCACAUGCACCCCAAGAUCGAGAUAAAUUCUCAAAAAUUAUAGAGAAUCCUUGACCUCAGUAUAAUCUUUGAAGAUCUAGAGGUCAAACUCAAAGCCCGCUGUGUAAAGCUUAUAUCAGAAAGAUUUAUGGUCGGAUAAUGCUUCAAAUGACCAGUUCUUUCAUCAUUUUAGGAGAUGGUAAAAGUCUUCACCCCUUUCCCUCUGAUUUGUUUACCUCUAUUCCCCUUAUUUUAUCAUGAGUUAUCGUCAUAAUUUCGUCACUGCUUCUUUUCAUCUUUUGUUCGAAUCUGAAGCUCCAAAUUUCAAACCCUAAAGCCCCAACUUUUGGCUAUAAAUAUCGGGCUUUAAUUGCCUCAACAACCAUGAAUCAAUAGCCUAGUAAAUGCACUAAAAUUAACUGAAAAGGCUUUAAAUCUCUAGUUUCUUUACUCACAGUCCUUUCUUUUCUCUUUCUAGUCGAGUUGAUCAUUCUUGAGAUGAUUCCGGAAUGGCUAAGGUUCAAUACUUGGUUUGUUGUCCUGAAGAAGGUCAGUAUGCUUUCAUUCCGUUUACUUCAACGUUCAAAUUUCUGUGCAUGACAAAUAAAUCCGAUAGUUCUCAUGUUUGAUUGGUAUAGUGUAUGUUAGUUAAAAAAACUCAUGUUAGCAGUUGCGUUCUCAGAGUUUACUCGCUUAAUUUGAUUGUGAAGCAUGUUGUAGGAUCUGUCUAUUUGGCAUGACUUUGGCACUAUUUUGUUCGUGUAUUAAACCUCUUCUGAAUUAAGUUAUUUUCUUCUUUAUUAGUAUUAGCUAUAAAUGUUAUUCUCUAUUAUCAUAAGGCUAUUUUGUUGUUGUAGAUAUCAUGUCUAUAAGGCUUACUUGUUUAAGUUCCAAAUUACAUGAUGAAGUUCAUCUUAUCCUGUUUUAUUACUUCCUUUGUUUCAAUUUAUGUGAACCUGUUUGACUGGGCACGAAGUUUAAGAAACAUGAAGACUUUUGGAAUUUGUGGUCCUAAACAAGUCAAAAAGAGGUCCAGAGUAUUUGUGUGGUUAUAAAAGCUUUUCGUUAAGGGUAGAAUUGGAAGUUUAAGCUAAAUUGUUUCCAAAUUUAGAAAGGGGUCAUUCCUUUUGGAACGAACCAAAAAGGAAAUAGGUUCACAUAAACUAGAACGGAUGUAGUAGCUUUUCUCUAGUUCUCUGUUUAACAAGACUCUUAUGAAACUAAGUCUAAACCUGAAAACCUUCAGUUUGGAUGUAGAAUAUCUUAUGAAGCUUGAACAUGAACCAUUACUUCCUAAUCAAUGAGUUUGACAACUUUUAAGUGACUGUCAUGAAAUUGGGCAUAGGUUUAUCUAGUUCCCAAUUUUGAUAACUUAGGCUCUCUAUAUGUAAAAACCAUGUUUAUGUGAUGGAAGUGAUUGCCAUGUAGUCUGAUGCAUUUGUCUAACUGUAAUAACACACCGGACCUCUGUUGAACCUCUAUGAAUGAAUUACCUGGUUGUGUGUUUACUGAUUGAGGAAGAAAUAUCCUGCUUAAGUUUUGUCCAAUGCUCUGCUUAAGUGUUCAUUUAGACAACUUAGAUUAGUAUUCAUCUCCAUAUGUAGAAAGCAUUUCUAUAGGGGCAACGUCACGACCCGAAAUUCCAACCUCAGGGCUGUGAUGAGUCUAACAUCCCACUAGCUAGGAAAGCCAACGUUAGCUAAUUACUUAACCCGUUUUAACAAUUUAAAAGAGAACAUUAAUAAUACGAAGCUAUACUAGUCUAAAAUAGGUGUGAUAAAUACAACAUAGCGUAGUUUAAACAUAUUCCAAAAAUAUGGAGCCAAGAAUACAUGAGCAUACUAGAAUUCUACAACUAAGUCUGAACGAAUUACAACUAUUCGAAAUAAGGAAAACAAUAAAGAUAGGGUAAAAGGGGACUUCAGGGACUGCGAACGCCAGUAGCUCUACCUCAAGUCUCCAAAAGUAGUUUAAUUCGAAUAGUCUCCGCUAUGCGCCGCUGGGACCAACACCAGUAUCUGCACAAGAAGUGUAGAAGUGUAGCAUGAGUAAAACUGACCCCAUAUACUCUGUAAGUACCGAGCCUAACAUCGACUAUGUAGUGAUGAGGCUAUGGCAAGUCACUCACAAAUAACAUGUACGAAAUAAUAAUAACAGAAAAUAGGAAUAGAAAUAAAGAAGUAAACUCAUAUGAACGGACCCGAAGGUCAACUACUAGAAGGCCUUAGAAUAACAUAGUCUCAAAUCUCAUAUCACAAUAUAGAGAAUAAGCUCUACAACCACAAACAACUACAACACACUAAGACCGUUGCAGCGUGCAACCUGUUCCCAAGUUUCAACAUAAUAUCUUAUACAAUGUACAACUCAUUUCCAAUAUGAAAUCAUAAUAUUUCACGUUCCGUUGUAGCGUGAAAUCCGAUUUCUCAAUAUUAAUUUAUUUCAGUACCGUUGCAGUGCGUAACCCGAUCUUCCAAUAUUAAUUUAUUAACAUAAAUAACUCAACACCACUUUUACGUGAUAUCAACACAAAAGAGAAGGAAAUAUGCGGAAUAUUAAAGAAGUGCAAAUUCAAACGGAGAAUAUCCAACAUCUCGUAAUCCCAAACCUUGACGAUUCAUCAAUACAAGAAUAGCUAAAUGUCUCACGUAAUCGAAAUAACAUAAUAGAGUGCAUCAAGUAAUAUAAAGACAAUAAAAGCAAGUAAAAAUAUGUGACAUUUAGAAUAUACAAUUAAGGCAAGUAGGAACAUGUAGCAAGUAAGAAAAUAUUGAGUGAAAAUGUACAAAUCAAAACAAGUAACAAUUAAAUAAAAAUUAACAAGUAAAGCUUAGAUAUCAAGUAAGAAUGUGUAGAAAUUAAAGCAUAUAAUAAGAGAUAAUAGGGAAUAAAUGAAAACAUGAAAGUAAAUAGACCGAUCCCGCAUGUUUAAUCCCGUGACGACGCAUAUACACUCGUCACCUUGCAUAUACGUUGUUUCCCUACAUAAUUCACAUAACACAUAGUCUAACAAGUCCUAAUUCCCUCAAGUCAAGGUUAGAUACAACACUUACCUCUUUGCGAAAUCAACUCAACAAUCAACCAUGGCUUUUCCUUUCGAACAAGCCUCCAAACCAACCAAAUCUAGCCAAAUAUCGUUCAAAUAAUUCAAAAUAAGCUUUAGAAACUACCCACAAGUGAAAAUAAUUUGAUCUUUAAUGAAAUUGGAAAAAGUCAACAAAACCUCUUGGUCAAAACUCGAGAUUCGUACCAAAACCCGAUGACCCAUUCACCCCUGAGCCCGGUUAUGUGAUUUGUUUUGAAAUUCGACCUCAAUUUGAGGUCUAAAUUUGAUGUUAAAAACAGAUGAAAAAUAAUGAAGAAUUGAAAUAAAAUGGAUUAGAGUUUCUUACCAAUGAUUUUGGGAAGAACAAAUUCUCGAAAAAUCGCCUCUAAAGUGUUUAGAGUUGAGAAAUGGUGUAAAAUGAGUUAAGUCCCGUUUUACCCAUUUUUUACCCAGCUUCAGGUGUCGCAAUUGCGAACUUCGUGUAACGACCCAACCAGUCGUUUUGAGUAUUACAACCCCGUUCCCCCAUUUACUACUCAAUUUAUGCCUUACAAUUGAUUUAUGACUUAUCGGGUUAGUUGGUUCGGGUCCGGAAAGAUUUUAGAGUAAAAUGAGACAAUUAGUCUCAUAAUUAAAAAUUUAAGUUGGAAAGGUUGACCGGAUAUUCACUUAUGUGUAAACGACCUCGGAAUUAAAUUCUGAUGAUUCCAAUAGCUCUGUAUGGCGAUUUUGGACUUAGGAGUGUGUCCGAAAAAUUAUUUGGAGGUCCGUAGUGGAAUUAGGCUUGAAAUGGCAAAAGUUGAAUUUUUGGGAAGAUUGACCGGGGAGUUGACUUUUUGAUAUCGGGGUCAGAAUCCGAUUCUGGAAAUUGGAAUAGUUUUAUUUUGUCAUUUAUGACUUGUGUGCAAAAUUUGAGGUCAAUCGAACUUGAUUCGAUAGGUUUCAGCAUCGAAUGUAGAAGUUGGAAUUUCUUAGUUUUAUUAAGCUUGAAUUGGGACAUGAUUCAUGGUUUUAGCGUUGUUUGAUGUGAUUUGAGGCUUCGACUAAGUCCGUAUGAUGUUUUAGGACUUGUUGGUAUAUUUGGUUGAGGUCCCGAGGGGCUCGGGUGAGUUUCGGGGUGGUUUCAGACCAUUUCUAGACCAUUUUUAAUUGUUGGUUUCUGUCUAUAGAGGUGUGCAUCGCGAUCGCGAACAUUUGUUCGCGUUCACGAAGAGAAAACAGCAGUUUGUGGCCAUGUGAAUCGCGAUCGUGGAAGCUCUUUCGCGAUCGCGUAGAACAAAAAUCUCUGCUGCACUGACCCGAUUUUCGAAGCUUNNNNNNNNNNNNNNNNNNNNNNNNNNNNNNNNNNNNNNNNNNNNNNNNNNNNNNNNNNNNNNNNNNNNNNNNNNNNNNNNNNNNNNNNNNNNNNNNNNNNNNNNNNNNNNNNNNNNNNNNNNNNNNNNNNNNNNNNNNNNNNNNNNNNNNNNNNNNNNNNNNNNNNNNNNNNNNNNNNNNNNNNNNNNNNNNNNNNNNNNNNNNNNNNNNNNNNNNNNNNNNNNNNNNNNNNNNNNNNNNNNNNNNNNNNNNNNNNNNNNNNNNNNNNNNNNNNNNNNNNNNNNNNNNNNNNNNNNNNNNNNNNNNNNNNNNNNNNNNNNNNNNNNNNNNNNNNNNNNNNNNNNNNNNNNNNNNNNNNNNNNNNNNNNNNNNNNNNNNNNNNNNNNNNNNNNNNNNNNNNNNNNNNNNNNNNNNNNNNNNNNNNNNNNNNNNNNNNNNNNNNNNNNNNNNNNNNNNNNNNNNNNNNNNNNNNNNNNNNNNNNNNNNNNNNNNNNNNNNNNNNNNNNNNNNNNNNNNNNNNNNNNNNNNNNNNNNNNNNNNNNNNNNNNNNNNNNNNNNNNNNNNNNNNNNNNNNNNNNNNNNNNNNNNNNNNNNNNNNNNNNNNNNNNNNNNNNNNNNNNNNNNNNNNNNNNNNNNNNNNNNNNNNNNNNNNNNNNNNNNNNNNNNNNNNNNNNNNNNNNNNNNNNNNNNNNNNNNNNNNNNNNNNNNNNNNNNNNNNNNNNNNNNNNNNNNNNNNNNNNNNNNNNNNNNNNNNNNNNNNNNNNNNNNNNNNNNNNNNNNNNNNNNNNNNNNNNNNNNNNNNNNNNNNNNNNNNNNNNNNNNNNNNNNNNNNNNNNNNNNNNNNNNNNNNNNNNNNNNNNNNNNNNNNNNNNNNNNNNNNNNNNNNNNNNNNNNNNNNNNNNNNNNNNNNNNNNNNNNNNNNNNNNNNNNNNNNNNNNNNNNNNNNNNNNNNNNNNNNNNNNNNNNNNNNNNNNNNNNNNNNNNNNNNNNNNNNNNNNNNNNNNNNNNNNNNNNNNNNNNNNNNNNNNNNNNNNNNNNNNNNNNNNNNNNNNNNNNNNNNNNNNNNNNNNNNNNNNNNNNNNNNNNNNNNNNNNNNNNNNNNNNNNNNNNNNNNNNNNNNNNNNNNNNNNNNNNNNNNNNNNNNNNNNNNNNNNNNNNNNNNNNNNNNNNNNNNNNNNNNNNNNNNNNNNNNNNNNNNNNNNNNNNNNNNNNNNNNNNNNNNNNNNNNNNNNNNNNNNNNNNNNNNNNNNNNNNNNNNNNNNNNNNNNNNNNNNNNNNNNNNNNNNNNNNNNNNNNNNNNNNNNNNNNNNNNNNNNNNNNNNNNNNNNNNNNNNNNNNNNNNNNNNNNNNNNNNNNNNNNNNNNNNNNNNNNNNNNNNNNNNNNNNNNNNNNNNNNNNNNNNNNNNNNNNNNNNNNNNNNNNNNNNNNNNNNNNNNNNNNNNNNNNNNNNNNNNNNNNNNNNNNNNNNNNCCGCUUACUGUAGAACCACCUGCAUCCAUUAAAGAUGCAGCGCCCCCGAUAAUAGGGACGUUAGUAUUGUUCGCAAAAGCGAGGCUCGCAAAUGCAAGAUCUGCAACAGACACCAGAAACAGGCACUGCACCAGCAGUCCUCAAAACUAUCCAAACAUGCACAUAAGUGUAAUAACAUCAUAUAAACUUGCUCGCGCAAUCAAAACAUCUGGAACCACGAAUCGGACAUCAAAACACAUGAAUUUCAAAAGCAAACUCAAGAGUAGCUAGGAACACAACCAUGCGUCCGAUUCUUAUCAAACCAACUCGAAAUUGCACCAAAUUUUGCAGACAAGUUUCAAAUAGAAAAAUUGACAUAUACCAAGUCCCAAAAACAAAAUUCGAACCCGAUAACCAUAAAUUCAACCUACGAUCAAACCUAGGAGAUUUCCAAAUGUUCAAAUUGCUAACUCUUGAUUUUGGGCUAAAUCAACCUAGGGACCUCAGAAUUCAAUUUUGGGCAUACGCCCAAGUCCAAAAUCACAAUACGAACCUACUGGAAUAGUCAAAAUACCAAUCCGGGAUCGUUUACCCAAAAUGUUGACCAUAGUCAAGUCAAGUUAUUUUUAAAGCCAAAAAUCAUAUUUUCUUUAAAUCUUUACGUAAAAACAUUUUGGAAAAUUACACGGACCACACACGCAAAUCAAGAAGUAUCAAAUUAAGCUAAGGGAGGUCUUGGAACACUGAAAUAAAGGCUAGUGCUCAAAAUGACCUAUCGGGUUGUCACAUUCUCCACCUCUAAAAGAAACGUUCGUCCUCUAGCAGACAUAGAAAAGUACCUGGAUUGGUAAAAAGGUGUGAGUGUCUACUCUGCAUAUCGGACUCGAACUCCCACGUAGCUUCCUCGAUCGGCUGACCUCUCUAUUGCACUUUUAUCGAAGGAAAACUCUUAGAUCUUAACUUUCGAACUUGCCAGGUUAGAAUAGCCACCGACUCCUCCUCAUAGGCCAAGUUUUCAUCAAGCUGGACCGUUCCGAAGUCUAGAUCAUACAAGCUAUCCUCAUGGUACUUCUGAAGCAUGGAAACAUUAAAUACCAGAUGUACCCCUGAUAAGCUAGGAGAAAAUGCAAGAAUGUAAGCAACUUGGAGGAGAACCUUCUCCCCCACCAAUAAACCUCGGGCUCAACUUUCCCUUCUUCCCGAACUGCAUCACGCCCUUCAUUGGGGACAUUUCCCCCACAAUAUAAGCUAUAUCUCGAACCUUCCGGUCUACAUAAAUCUUCUGCUUGGACUGGGCUAUACGAAGUCGCUCCUGAAUUACCUUAACCUACUCCAUAGCAUCACAGACCAAAUUAGUGCCCAAUAACGUAGGCUCACCGGGCUCGAACCAACCACUCGAAAAACGACAUUGCCUCCCAUAUACGGCCUCAUAGGGCACUAUAUGAAUACUCGACUAGUAACUAUUAUUGUAGGCGAACUCUGCUAGAGGUAAGAAUGGGUCCCAUAAACCUCCGAAAUCCAUAACACAAGCACGUAACAUGUCCUCCAGGAUUUGAAUAGUGCGCUCAGACAGUCCGUUCGAAUGAGGAUGAAACGUUGUGCUCAGCUCGACCCGCGUGCCAAACUCACGCUGUACGGCUCCCCAAAAAUGUAAUUUUAACUGCGUGCCUCGAUAAAAAAUGAUGGAAAUGGGAAUGUAGUGCAGACAGAUAAUCUACGGAAUGUAAAUCUGAGCCAACCUCUUUGAAGAAUAGGAAGUCACACAGAAAUGAAGUGUGCGGACUUAGUCAACCGAUACACGAUAACCAAGACCGUGUCAUACUUUCUCAAGGUCCGUGGCAAGCCUCCCACAAAAUCCAUAGUGAUGCGCUCCCUCUUCCACUUCGGUAUCUACAAUCUCUAAUUCAAUCCACCCGGUUUCUGAUGUUCAUACAUCACCUGUUGACAAUUCAAACACCGAGAUACAUUUGCAACAAUGUCUUUCUUCAUUCUUCACUACCAAUAAUGCUGUUUCAAGUCACGAUACAUCUUCGUGACACCUGGGUGAAUAGAAUAGCACGAACUGUAACCCUCCUAAAGGAUCAAAUUUCUCAUCCCAUCAACAUUUGGAACAAAAAUCUACCCCUGAAGUUGCAUAACACCAUCAUCACCGAUCACGACCUCCUUAGCACCACCCCACUGCACCAUAUCCUUCAACACCAAAAAGCGAGGAUCAUCAAACUGGCGAGCCUUGAUAUGCUCCAACAAUGAAGACCGUGCCACAACAUAAGCAAGAACCCGACUGGGCUCCAAAACAUCCAAUCUCACAAACUGAUUGGCUAAAACCUGAACAUCCAUGGCUAAUGGCCUCUCUGCUACCGGUAAAUAUGCUAAACUACCAUGGUCUCCCCCUUCCUACUCAAUGCAUCGGCCACUAUAUUGAACUUCCCUUGAUGAUAUAAUAUGGUGAUAUCAUAGUCUUUUAACAACUCUAACGGCCUCUGUUGCCGCAAAUUAAGGUCAUAUGGUGAUAUCAUAGUCUUUUAACAACUCUAACUACCUCUGUUGCCGCAAAUUAAGGUCUUCCUGCUUGAACAAGUACUGGAGACACUGUUGGUCAGUAUAGACCUCACAAUGAAUGUCGUACAGAUAGUGCCUCCAAAUCUUUAGCGCGUGAACAAUGGUCGCCAACUCUAAAUCAUGAACAAGGUAAUUCUUCUCAUGAACCUUCAACUGCCGAGACACAUAAGCAAUCACCCUACCAUCCUACAUCAACACUGCUCUAAGCCCAAUAUUUGAUGAGACAGAAUACACGGUGUAAGAUCCUAAACCUGUAGGCAACACCAACAUUGAGGUUAUAGUUAAUGCAGUCUUGAGCUUCUAAAAGCUCAACUCAAUCUCGUCAGACCAUUUGAAAAGAGCACCCUUCUAGGCCAACUUGGUUAAUGGGGCUGAGAUAGAUGAAAACCCCUCCACGAACCGACGAUAAUAACCCGCCAAACCUAAGAAGCUCUGAAUCUCUGUAGCUGAAGUAGGUCUAGGACAGUUCUGAACUACCUCAAUCUUCUUAGGAUCCACCUUAAUGCCCUUGGAAGAUACAACAUGGCCCAAAAAGGCAACCAAGUCCAACAAGAAUUCACACUUUGAAAACUUGGCAUAUAACUGAUGAUCUCUCAGAGUUUGAAGUACAAUCCGCAGAUGCUGCUCAUUCACCUCUCGACUGCGGGAAUAAACCAAAAUAUCAUCAAUGAAGACGAUCACAAAAGAAUCCAGAUAGAGCUUGAACACCUGGUUAUCAAAUCCAUAAAUACUGAUGGAGCAUUAGUCAAGCCAAAUGACUCACUAAGAACUCAUAGUUACCAUACCGAGUCUGAAAAGUUGUCUUAGGGGCAUCCGAUGCCCUAAUAUUUAACCGAUGGUAGCUAGAUCUCAAGGCAAUCUUGGAAAACUCCCCAGCAAAGGAUACUUGUUAUUGAUAGUGACCAUGUUCAACUACAGAUAAUCUAUACACAUCCCCAUCGUUCCAUUCUUCUUCUACAAAAACAACACCAGUGCACCCCAAGGAAAAACACCCCGUCUAAUGAAUCCUUUAUCAAGUAAAUCCUGCAACUACUCAUUCAAUUCUUUCAACUCAACUAGGGCCAUACGAUACGUUGCGGUAGAAAUGGGCUGAGUGCCCGAAACCAGAUCAAUGCAGAAGUCGAUAUCUUUAUCGGGUGUCAUCCCCGAAAAAUAUAUAGGAAACAUCUCUAGAAACUCGCACUAAACUAGUACUAAAUCCAUGAAAGGAACCUCUGCACUUGGAUCUCGAAUAUAGGCCAAAUAUGCAAAACACCCCUUCUCGACCAUACGCCGAGCCUUCGCAUAAGAAAUAACACUGCUAAUAGAAUGGCCAGGAGCCCCUCUCUAUUCUAAUCGAAGCAACCUCGACAUGGCCAAUCCAUGACCAAGAUAACAUUAAAGUGCACCUUAUCAAGUAGUAGAAGGUCUACCCUAGUCUCAUAGCUCCAAAUAAAAACCACACACGAGCAAUAAACACGAUCUACCACAAUAGAAUCUCCCACAGGCGUGGACACAUAGACAGGAGCACUUAAAGAAUCAUGAGGCAUAACCAGAUAUGAAGCAAAAUAGGAUGACACGUAUGAAUAAGUAGAGCCCUGGUCAAAUACAACUGAGGCAUCUCUUUGGCAAACCGGAACAAUACCUGUGAUGACGACAUAUGAUGAUGUUUCCUGAGGUCUAGUUGGGAGUGCAUAAAAACAAGGCGGAGCCCAACCACUCUGAACUCCGCCUCUCGGAUGGCCUCUAACUGACUGGCCUCCACCUCUAACAACCUGAACACCACCUCUAGCAGCCUGGCCCUCGCCUCUAGCUAGUUGUGCGGGUGGUGGAGCAACCGGUGUCGGAAUCAUGGAAUGAGUACCCUAAUAUGGUAUGCUGCUCAUCAAUCUAGGAUAAUACCUCCUGAUAUGACCUGCAUCGUCGCACUCAAAGCAACAUCGUAAUUGGCCUAACUGCUAAGUUUGAGAUGAUCCCUGAUGACUCGAAUGACCACUAUAGUAAAUUUGUAGCGGUAGUGCACUGAUAGAAGAUAAAGGACCCGUAAGAAUCACGACUUCCCAAAGCACCAUGUGCUACCUGAAGCGUUGACUGAAUCGUCAUGUGAGGGUGGCCUCUACCAAAUGGCCUCUAAAUGAGGCACCACUGAAAUCACAAAAAUGACAAGGCCUCUUCUCCGAUAACGCCUCUCUACCCUGACCACGAAGCAUCUCGAUCUGUCUAGCAAUCUCUACGGAGCGCUGGAAAGAAAUAUCAUCCCUAGUUUCUUUGGUCAUCUGUAUCCUGCUACCAAAAGUAGGACCAUCAAUGAAUCUCCUCACCCUAUCUCUGUUAGUAGGAACCAAGAUAGCUGCAUGGAGGGAUAGGUCCACAAAUCUGGUCUCAUAUUGGGUAACUGUCAUACUACCCUACCGGAGGCGCUCGAAUUGCCUGCGGUACUCCUCUCUCAGAGUAAAAGAGAUGAACUUCUCCAAAAAUAGCUAUGAAAAGUGAUCCCAAGUUAGUGGAAGUGAACCUGCUGGUCUGCCUCGCUCAUAAUCCUACCACCACCUCUUGGUAGAACUGGUCAUCUGAAACACUAAAAAGUCGACUCCAUUGUACUCCACAAUACCCAUAUUGCGCAAUAUCUCGUGGUAACAGACCAAAUAAUCAUAUGGGUCCUCAGAAGGUAUACCACCAAAAAGAGUAGCAAAGAGCUUGGUGAACAUAUCCAAACUUUUCAAUCCCUUAGAAGACAUCGCGGGCCUCUUCCCGGCUAUGUAGCAAUCACGGGCUGGACUACUCUAACUACAGGAACUGUCGGAGUCUGGUACAAGGGAUCCACUUGCUUUGGAGUGAGAGUGGUGGGAGUCUGGGCUACUCCCCUAGCUUGAGAGACACUUAGUGCCACAAGAAAUACUCCAGCCUGGGCCAUUCUCUCCAUAAGGCCCACUAAGCAGACUAGGGCAUCUUGAACUACGAGAGUAGCAAUGAAUCCCUUCGGGACUUAAGCGGGUCCGACAGGUGCAGUUUAAAUAGGGAUCUCCUCCUUAUGCUCAAUUUGAGGCUCUGCAAUGGGUGCUGUUGCACGUGCUCUAGACUGAGCUAUGCCUCUUCCUCGGUCCCUACCUCGGGCCUGCCCCCUACCCCUGGUAGUGGCUGCAACAGAGGGCUCUAGCUCCUACCCGGAUGAAGAUGUUGUACGUGUCCUCAACAUCUGCGAGAGAACAAUAAUAGAAUGGUUCAAACUUCAGUAAAGUCGCACGAUAGAGAAAGAAAGAAGUAAAAUUUUCCUAAAGCCUUAUAGCCUCUAGAAGAUAUGUACAGACGUCUCCAUAUAGAUCCUCCAAACUCUACUAAGUCUGCUCAUGACUCGUGAGAGCUAGGCAACAUAGAGCUCUAAUACCAACUUGUCACAACCUGGAAUCUCAACCUCAAGUUCGUGAUGGCGCCUAACAUUUUAUUUGCUAGGCAAGCCAACGUUAGCUAAUUACUUAACCAGUUUUAACAAUUUAAAAAAGAACAUUAAUAAUACGAAGUUGUACUAGUCUGAAAUAGGUGUGAUAAAUACAACGUAGCUUAGUCUAAACAUAUCUUAGAAAUCUAGAGUCACGAAUACAUGAGCAUACUAGAAUUCUACAUAUAGAGUCUGAACGAAUUACAACUGCUCGAAAUCAGGGAAACAAUAAAGAUAGGGUAGAAGGGGAUUUGAGGGAUUGCGAACGCCAGCUUCUCUACCUCAAGUCUCCGAAAAUAGUUGAAUUCGAGUAGUCUCUGCGACCAACACCAGUAUCUGCACAAGAAGUGCAGAAUGUAGCAUGAGUAUAACCGACUCCAUGUACUCUGUAAGUGCCGAGCCUAACCUCGACAAAGUAGUGACUAGGAAAUGGCUAGUCACUCACAAAUUACAUGUACGAAAUAAUAAUACCAAAAAAUAGGAAUAGAAAUAAAUAAGUAAACUCAUAUAAAUGAACUCCAAGGUCAACUACCAGAGGGUCCCAGAAUAACAUAAUCUCAUAUCAUAAUGCCGAGAAUAAGCUCUACAGACACAAACAACUACAACACACCAAGAUCGUUGCGGCAUGCAACCCGGUCCCACGUUUCAACAUAAUAUCUUUUACAACGUACAACUCAUUUCCAAUAUCAAAUCAUAUCAUUUCCUGUUCCGUUGCGGCGUGCAACACUAUCUCCCAAUAUUAAUUUAUUUUAGUACUGUUGCGGCAUACAAUCCGAUUCCCAAUAUCAAUUUAUUAACAUAAAUAACUCAACACCACUGUUUACGAGAUAUGAACAGAAAAGAGAAGGAAAUGCGCGGAACAUUAAAGAACUGCCAAUAGAAACGAAGAAUAUCCAACACCUCGUAAUCCCAAACCUUGACGAUUCAUCAAUACAAGAAUAGCUUAAUGGCUCACGUAAUCGAAAUAACAUAAUAGAACAUAAUAGAGUGCAUCAAGUAAUAUAAGGACAAUAAUAGCAAGUAAAAUCAUGUGAGAUUGAGAAUAUAUAAUUAAGGCAAAUAGGAAGAUGUAGCAGGUAAGCAGAGACUGACUGAAAAUGAGCAAAUCAAAACAAGAAUUAACAAGUAAAGAUUAGAUAUCAGUAAGAAUAUGUAGAAAUCAAAGCAUAUAACAAGAGAUAACAUGGAAUAAAUGAAGGCAUGGAAGUAAAUACGCGAUCCCACAUGUUUAAUCCCAUGACAGUGCAUAUACACUCGUCACCUCGCAUAUACGUCAUUUUCCCACAUAAUUUACAUAAGAAAUAGUCCAAUUAGUCCUAAUUCCCUCAAGCCAAGGUUAUACACAACACUUUCCUCGUUGCGCAACCAACUCAACAAUCACCCACAACUUUUCCUUUCGAACAAGCUGAUGGUAGGCUGUAAUCUUGUGUUUUAGUCUCUUUUUACAUUCUAAUUUACUGCACUUUAAUUGAGUUUGAGCGUUAAUUGCUAGUGUUUUGCACUAAUUAUGUAUUUUAUGCCUUAUAGGGGUGAUUCUAAGCUAUGUAGAUGUUAUGAAACUAAUUCGAGCUAAUUGGAGCUUUGAAGUCUAAGUAAAAGCACAAAGGAAUAAACUAGAAUCGUAUUCAGAGGUCGAGGAUCACUCCUAUAAUGUCUAAGAUGUGUCACAAACAAGUUAAAGGGUUUGGAUUGCUUUAUGUUUUCCUUUAACUUAAACAUUGUUAUGAUGAAUUACUCUAUAUCCAUGGAGUAGUUAUCUUUAGGGUUUGAUGGAUUUUGUGUAUUGAUACUUGUUUGUGGAUAACUAACUCUAGUUUUAUGUAUUGAAAUCGUUUUGGAUGUUUUAAUCGUUGCAUCUAUAUACACUUGUUAAUGUAAUCGAGAGAGGCAUAACUUGUGAGAUCUUUGCGUUAUAUUUUGUUGAUUGAUGUCUUAAAUUAUUCUUAGUAAUCGGAAGAGGCUAGUUGAAUUGUUGAUUAAACAUAGUUAGGAAAAUAAUCGAGAGAGGUUCUCCUAAAGACCAAUGCACUACGAAUUCUUGCAUAUAUUCACAUGCUUAAAAUUGGUUUAUCUUGUGAGGUUGAGACUUAAUCGAGAGAGGAGUUUCUACUAAUCAAUUGAACUAAUAACUAAGUAAAUUCGAGAGACUCACUUGAACAUUAGAAGUGAAUUAUCUAGAGUUAAAUCCCAAAUAUUUAUCUUGCACCUAUCCUAUAAACCUUAUUUUCUCCCAAUUGAUAACUUUCUUUGCUUAAUACUUGGGUUGAUUGUCAUUAGUCAAUAGUUUAGACUCUUAGUUAAUUCUAGUUUAAAUCACAUAAAUCUCAAUUGUUGAUCAUAUUAGAUAGCAAUAAAACUAUAAACUACGAUAAUAACUGUUUAACUCUAAUCCCUGUGGAUACGAUAUUUUAAAUUAUUAUAUUCGACUAGCGAGCAUAUUUUAGUGUAUGUUUUCGCUCGUCACAAGUCUCAAAGCCAACCAAAUCUAGCUAAAUAUCGUUCAAACAAUUCAAAAUAAGCUUUAGAAACUAUCCACAAGUGAAAAGCAUUCGAUCUUUAAUGAAAGUGAGAAAAGUCAACAAAAGUCAACCUCGGGGCCGCUUGGUCAAAAAUGGAGAUUCGGACCAAAACCCGAUUACUCAUUCACCCCCGAGCCCGAUUAUGUAAUUUUUUUUCAAAAUUCGACCUCAAUUUGAGGUCUAAAUCUCAAUUUUACAAAAUUUUAAAUCUUUAAUUUCUACAAUAGAAAUCCUAGAUUUGAUGUUAAUAAUACAUGAAAAAUAAUGGAAAAUUGAAAGAAAGUGGAUUAAAGUUCUUUCCAAUAAUUUUGGGAAGAAGAAAUUCUUGAAAAAUAGCUUCUAGAGUAUUUAGAGUUGAGAAAUGGUGUAAAAUGUGCUAAGUACCAUUUUCCCUCUUUUACCCAGUUGCAGAUGUCGCAAUUGCGAUAUCUUGUUCGCAAUUGUGAGCUCUGCAAAUGCGAAACACAGGUCGCAAAUGCGAACUGUGAGUCAGAAGCCCCGAUGUCGCAAAUGCGAUAAAUUUCUUGAAAAUGCGAAGGUACCCCAUCGCAAAUGUGCCCAAAAGCUUCGCAAAUGCGUAGCUCACCCAUGUUGCUUGUGAUCGCAAAUGCGACCAUUAUGUUUGCAAAAGUGAACAAUGACAGUUCGCACAAGCGAACCCAUUCCUCGUAAAUGUGAGGUCACCCAGCCCAGGCCCCUCUCGCAAAUGCGAGCCAUACCUUGCAAUUGCGAGAUCUACAACAGCCACCAGAAACAGGCAAUGCACCAGCAAUCCUCAAACUAUCCAAACUCAUCCGUAAUGCAUUCGAAACUCACCCGAGCCCCUCGGGCUCCAAACCAAAAAUCACACAAGUGUAAUAACAUCAUAUGAACUAGCUCACGCGAUUAAAAAACCAAAAUAACAUCCGGAACUACGAAUCAGAUAUCAAAACACAUGAAAUUCAAAAGGGAACUCAAGAGUAGCUAGAAACACAACCAAGCGUCCGAUUCCUAUCAAACCAACUGGGAAUUACACCAAAUUUUGCAGACACGUUUCAAAUAGAAAAACAGACUUAUUCCAAGUUCCAAAACCAAAAUACAACAUGAUAACCAUAAAGUCAACCUACGGCCAAACCUAGGGGAUUUCCAAACAUUCAAAUUGCUUACUUUUGGCAAAAUGAGUCAAAUCAACCUAGGGACCUCCGAAUUCAAUUCCAGGCAUACGCUCAAAUCCAAAAUUACAAUACCAACCUAUCGGAAUCAUCAAAAGAGCGAUCCGGGGUCGUCUACUCAAAAUGUUGACCGUACUCAACUCAAGUUAGUUUUAAAGCCAAAAAUCACAUUUUCUUGAAAUGUUAACGAUGGAAAUCACGUAAAAACUUUUGGAAAAAUUUCUUGGACCAUGCACACAAAUCAAGAAGUAUUAAAUGAAGCUAAUGGAGGUCUCAGAGCACAUAAAUAAAGGCUAAUUCUCAAAAUGACCUAUCAGGUCGUCACAAGAAAAUUAUAGGAUGAAUUACUUGGGAAAAUUACAGUUGCUUUGUCAUGUUUUGAAGAAGAAAAAAUUUUCUUUGUAUGAAUGGUUGUUAGUGAUAUAACCUUGACUUGCCUCUUUCGCUUCAGAUUACAGUUAUGCAUUCAUUCCUCGCACUUCUGCCUUUACCCUUAUGUGCAAAUACUAACUGGAUUUUCCCUUUUAUUUUGCAUGAGUACCCUGGGCCAAUGGAGUUCACUUUGAACACUAUUGUCCUCAUUGCGUUACUAUUACUGAUGUCUGCUGCUGAUUUUAAAUCGAUGGGUCUGAUUCUUUGUCAGCCCAUUACAAGAGUCUAGCCUCCUAACUUUAUAUCACUGCCAUUUAUUAGUCCCAGUUGUAUACUUGUGUUAUGAAACUAAUGCUAAUAUUAUAUGUUCUUAUCUUUACUUUGAUUGAUUACCUAGGAAAUAAUCUUAGUAUAAACUAAUCAUGUUGGACAUAAGGCAAACACAAGGUAAUAAGACUGACAGCUUGUAACUUGUGCACAUGAUAACCAUUUAAAGAGUUUUCAAUUGAUCAUUUAGGCAAAACUAGAAACGAAAUAUAUUGGAAGUAAGACACGGGGCAUUUGCAGCCAUACCCUGUAUUUAUGCCAACUUUUAACCUGUGUCCUAUUUUUAAAAAUGAUUGAUUUGGUAGCCAGCUGACAAAAAAACCGUAAUAAUAUGACAAUUACACCCCUGACAAAAGAUAUAAAAUCUACAUCAUGCAUUAAUCGCGUGAGAUCUCCUCCUCCUCUCACCUUGAGGCUAAAACUUCAUGCUAAUGUAGCAUGAAGUUGUUUCAUGUUGAAACUAAAAUUUCAUGCUAAUAUAGCAUUAAGUUGUUUCAAAUUGAAGCUAAAACUUCAUGCUAAUGCAUGCUGAAGUUAUUUAUCCUGCAGUCUAAAGUUUUGUCACGAGUUUUAUUCGAAACUUCAGUCUAAACAUGCUGAAGUUAUUUAGUUCAUUUGCUCAGUCUAAACAUGCUGAAGUUAUUUAGUUCAUUUGCUCAGUCUAAACAUGCUGAAGUUAUUUAGUUCAUUUGCUAAAACUUCAGACUAAAGAUGCUUAAGUUUUUGUCUUGCAGUAUUAAUUUUCUAAUGAGUUUCAUACCAAAACAUGCUGAAGUUUUGUCAUGCAGUCUACAGUUUUGUCAUCAGUUUUAUCCGAAACUUCAGUCUAAGCAAGCUGAAGUGUUUUAGUUCAUUUGCCAAAAUUUCAGACUAAACAUGCUUAAAUUUUUGUCUUGCAGUAUGUAAUUUUCUAAUUAGUUUUUUUUUAAUGCAUGCUGAAGUUAUUUAGUUCAUUUGCUAAAAUUUCAUACCAAAAUAUGCUGAAGUUUUACCCUGUAGUCUACAGUUUUAUCAAUAGUCUUUUAUUAAAGAAGGGCAAAAUCGUCUUUUUAAAAUGCUUUUAACAAAAAAAUGGGUACGGAUGCAAACAGAAAAAUAAAACGGGUAUAAGUUAAAAAUGGGCGAUCAAAUAGGGUGCCCCAUGCAAUUUUUACGUAAGACACGCAGGUAGAAUACAAUCUGGACCCGAUUUUCACAAAGAUAAAAAGUUAUUUUGGAAAUCGAAUAACCUUGCUCAAACAAUUCCUUUAAACACGGCUAAGGUAUACGGAUAUUUCGCACGUUAUUUUUAGUUUACAAAAGUUUAAGUAUUAUUAUAAACUCAUAUUUUGAUUACCUUUUGCAUCAGAAAGCAACUUUAAUUAUUUUGGAAGCAAUUUAUAGUAUAGUCUUUAAUUAAAUACUCCUUUACAAACUAUUUUUGAACCUGUUAUCUUUCAACAAAUUAACGCCUAAACACCUUAUAACUUUAAGAUUAAGGAACUACUUUAGUGUAGAUUUAUGCCUAACACCUUCCCCUUAGAAUAACCAGAACCCUUACCUAGAUUCUCACUAGUUUAGUGGACCAUCAGGAUGUUGAUCUUUAUCUGACAUAUAGGUACCUAGUAUACCUUUAAAUAUUAGGUGGCGACUCUUCUUUUAUUAACCUCAAAGGAACCAAAAGUUGUGUUUUGUUUUAACAUGUGCAAAUUAGGGUGCAACAAGAAAUAAUGAGUUGCACGAAGAGUUUUCCGUGCUUGUGAGAACGAGUGAUUGUGCACGAAGGGUGUUUUCGUGCUUUCUUUUUACAUAUCAAUAUCAUUGUAGGAAGGGUCUUACCAUGAUUGAGAGGAAAAGAGAAUAUGCGUGAAGGGUGCUUCCGUGCUUGUUAUUAUAUUGUGUUUGUGAUAAUGAGACUAAAAGUACGAAGGGUGAUGCCAUGUCUUUUGUUAGUAUUGUUUUUUCUUUAUUUUGCUAUACGGAUUGAGGAUAUGGCUAUGUUGCUUCAUGGUUAUCUUUGAAAGGUUUGUUCAGAGUUGCUUGUGGAAGCAUAAGUUGUGGUUUACUAUAGUAGUAUCUUCCUUUAUUUUAUCGUUCUAUAUCUCCUUAUUAUACUUGUUAUCUCUCUCACAUAUUAUCAUCUUUCUUGCUAUUUUACUUAUUAUCUCAUCUCAUUGUUUCUUGUUAUUUCACGUUAUUACUCGUUACAUAACUGUACAUGCUUAUAUGUUGGUGUCUUGUAUUAGCCUCGUCAGCCUUGGCUCAACACUUACGGAGUACAUUGGGUCAGUUGUACUCAUACUACACUUUCGCACUUCUUCUGAUGAUUUUAGUCCUAGUUUCGGUGUUACAUAGAGGAGAGACUAGCUAGCUGGUUGAGCAGACCCGAGGUAGUACUGCACUCUCGUUCGCAAGCCUUAGAUUCACCCAUGUCAUAUUUUUAUUACUCUUUAUUUAUUUCGAACAGUGUACCAUUAUUCCAGACUGUGUAUUUAGUUGAGUUUGUAGACGCUCAUGUACUCAGUGACUCUAAUUUCUGGGAGAUGUUAGAUGGUUAUGGGUUUCAGACUUGAUUUAGUUUUCCUGAAUUUUAUCUUUCAUUUAUAGUAUUUUGUUAUUUACGUUUUGCUUUUCCUUUAUUGUUGCUAUUGUUGGCUUGCCUAGCAAGUGGCGUUAGGCGCCAUCACGAUCCCCUUGGUUUGGAAUUUGGGUCGUGACAAGUUUCAGAGCACUAGGUUGCAUAUGUCUCACGAGUCAUGAGCAAGCUUGAUAGAGUCUUGAGGAUCGUUACACAGAUGUUUCAACUUAUCAUCUAGAGGCUACUAGGAAACUGUACUUUCUUUCUUUCUCUAUCGUGCGGCUUUGUUAUAUCCUAAAGUUUGAAUCUUCAAUCUCUUUUUCUCUCAAAGAUGGUGAGGAAAUAUGCUUCGACUGAAGGUGAUUAAGAGCUACAGCCCUAAAUUGCAGCCACUAUUAGGGGUAGGGGCUGGGGCAAGGGUAGAGGCAGAGACACAUGCAGAACUCAGCCUAGAGUGCACGCAGCAACACCCAAAGUCAUGCCUCAGAUAGCUCCAGAGGAGGAGAUUCCAAUUCAGGUCGAGCUGAUAGGACCAACUUAGGUCCCAGAUGGGUUCAUUGCUACGCAAUGCUUCAGGAUGCCUUAGUCUGCAUGGUCGGAUUCAUGGAGAGUAUGGCCCAGGACGGAGUAUUUCCCAUGGCACCAACCACUUCUCAGGCUGGGGGAAGAGUUCAGACUACCACUACACAUACCACAGAGCAGAUGGCCCAUGGUUAUCAGACCUUAGGAGUUCUACCCGUUGGGGUGGUUUGGUAUAUUAUAGCCGCACAGUCCGAUGAUAUGCCCACGGUGUCAGUUGAUGUGAAGAGGUUCGACAGGUUUACCAAGUUGUCUCCUCCACACUUUAGCGGUGCACCUUCAGAGGAUGCCCAUGACUUCUUGGACCGUUGCCAUGAGAUUUGCACAUCCUAGGACUAGUUGAGUCCAAUGGAGUUGAUUUCAUAGUCUUUCAAAUGCAUGGUUCAACAAAUAGGUGGUGGUAGGUUUUUUAGCUGGGCAGGCCAGCAAAAUCACCUCUUCUUACGGAGGCUUAGUUUUCAUAGUUGUUCUUAGUGAACUUUAUUCCCCUCACUCAAAGAAAUGAGCUACGCAACCAGUUUGAGCGCCUUCAUCAGGGUAGCAUGAUCAUCACCUAGUAUGAGACUAGAUUUUUUUAUUUGUCUUGCCAUGCAGCUAUCCUGAUUCCUACUGAGAGGGAGAAGGUGCAGAGGUUCAUAGAGGGUCUUACCCAUGGCAUCAUGCUCCAUAUGGCUAGAGAGGCUGAGACCAAGACUUCUUUUACUCAGGUACUAGAGAUUGCCUGGAGGAUUGAGCGCAAUAGAGGUCAGGUGAGAGAGACGACCUCUGAUAAGAGGCCUCAUCAUUUUGGUGGUUUAAGUGGUGCCUCGUCAGGAGGAAGGGGUUCCUUGGAUAGAGUCAAUUCUAUCAGGCUGGUAUAGUUAACACUACAAUGUCACACAUGGCACAUCAAGCAGCCAUAGUGCUUAUGGACCUCAUUCCGAGCAUCUAGCAUUCAGUGCAUCUCUAGCUCCUGCUAGUGCACCUCCAAUAAAGAGUUACCAUGGUGGUUAUUCGGGUUGUCAAGUACAGCUCCAGGUUCAGCAAUCACAUUAGCAAAGGGCUUGCUAUGUGUGUGGGGAUUUGAGUCAUAUCACGAGGUUUUGCUCUAGAUCACAGAGUAGUAUGACACAACAGUGUACUCAUGCCAUAAUUCUGGUACUGGUUUCUACACCACCUGCUCAGUCAGAUAGAGGAGGGGGUCAGGUAGCCAGAGGUGGAGGCUAGCCAAUUAUAGGUGGAGGCUAGUUAGUGAGAGGUCAUCCUAGAGAUGGAGGACAGGUUGGUGGGGCUUAGCCCCAUUGUUAUGCAUUCCCAUCUAGGCCUGAGGCGGAGUUGUCCGAUGCAGUUAUUACAGGUAUUAUCUUAGUCUGUCAUAGAUAUGCUUCGGUGUUGUUUGAUCCGAGUUCUACAUAUUCUUAUGUGUCUUCAUACUUUGUAUCCCACUUGAGUAUGCCUCGUGAUUCUCUUUAUGUUCCUGCUUUUGUGUCCACGCCCGUUGGGGAUUCUGUAGUAGUAUAUUAAGUGUACUGGUCUUGUGUUGUUACUAUUAAUGGUUUUGAUACUAUGAUCUCUUGUUGUUGGAUAUGGCAGAUUUUUGAGGUUAUUCUAAGUAUGGAUUGGUUGUUCCCAUAUCACGCCAUCUUAGAUUGUCAGGCCAUGAUUAUAACUUUACCAUGUUGGGGUUGCCCAAAUUAGAGUGAAGAGGGACCCCCAUUCAUUCUACUAGCAGAGUGGUCUUAUUUUCGAAGGCUUAGCGUAUUGUUGAGAAGGGGUUCUUAGCAUAUUUGGCUUGCAUUCACGAUUCUAGUGCAGAGGUUCUUUCUAUGGAUUUAGUGCGGAGGUUCUUUCUAUGGAUUUAGUGUGGGCUGUGAGGGAGUUCCCAGAAGUAUCUCCUACAUAUUUAUCGGGCAUGCCACCUGACAAGGAUAUCGAAUUUUGCAUUGAUUUGGUUCUGGGAACUCAACUAUUUCUAUCCUACUGUACCGUAUGGCUCUAGCUAGUUCAAAGAAUUGAAGAAUUAGUUGCAGUAUUUGCUUGAUAAAGGAUUUAUUAGACCGAGUGUUUCACCUUGGGGCGUGUCAAUGUUGUUUGUUAAGAAGGACGGAUCGAUGGGGAUGUACAUCGAAUAUCGACAGUUGAACAAGGUUACCAUCAAGAAUAUGUAUCCGUUACCUAGGAUUGAUGAUUUGUUUUACCAGCUUCUGGGUACCAAGGUAUUUUCCAAGAUUGAUUUGAGAUCGGGCUACCAUAAGGUGAAGAUUAGGGCAUCAGAUACUCUUAUGAGAGAUUUUAGGACCCGAUAGGGUUAUUAUGUGUUUCUUGGUGAUAUCAUUUGGUUGACUAAUGCUCCAACAACCUUCGUGGAUUUGAUGAACCGAGUGUUCAAGCCUUACUUGGAUUCCUUUGUGAUUGUUUUUAUUGAUGAUAUUCUAGUUUAAUCUCAUAGUAGAGAGGGGCAUGAGCAACAUUUACGGAUUGUACUUCAAACUUUGAAGGACCGCCAACUUUAUGCCAUGUUUUUGAAGUGUGAGUUCUGGCUAGACUUAUUUGCCUUCUUGGGACAUGUUGUGUCUUGUUAUGGUAUCAAGGAUGAUCCUAAGAAGAUUGAGGAAAUUCAGAGUUGGCCACGACCUACUUCAGCUACAAAAAUUCGGAGCUUCGUGGGUUUGGCGGGCUAAUAUCAUCAUUUUAUGGAGGGUUUUUAUCUAUCGCAACCCCAUUGACCAAGUUAACUCAGAAAGGCGCUCUUUUCAGAUAGUAUUAUGAGUGCAAGGAGAUCUUUCAGAAGCUCAAGACUGCCUUGACUACAACCACAAUAUUAGUGUUACAUAGCAAUUCAGGGCCUUAUACUAUAUAUUGUGAUGCUUCACGUAUUGGACUUGGCGCAAUAUUGAUGCAGAAUAGUAGGAUGAUUGCCUAUGUGUCUCAUCAAAUGAAGAUCCAUGAGAAGAAAUAUACUAUGUAUGAUUUGGAGCUGGCAUCUAUUGUACACGCGCUCAAGAUUGGAGGCACUACUUGUACGACAUGUUGAUGAGUAGUGAUUUUACCACUUAUUUUAGUCUCUUUUCUUUAAAUUUUAUUUCGUUUAAUUAUAAGAUGAGGUAAUUUAUGGUAUGCAUUGCUAAAUUUUUAGGUACAAUGAGUCUUGAGGAGAAUUGAAAUCAAAUAAAGUGGAAUUGAGCAAUAAAUAGUUGAAGAAGUGCAAAAAUUGGUUCGAGUGGUUUCGCACCUGCAGGGAAAUUUCCGCUUCUGCGGACUCGCAUCUGUGACUACCUGUCUGCAUCUGUGAAUGGGAGCUGUUACACUGAUAUCACAUUUGCGAGUGAAUUCCCGCAUCCGCGGAGGUGCUUCUGCACAAUAUGUCUGCACCUGUGUGUGCACUUCUGCGCUUCAGAGUCCGCAUUUGCGGUGUAGCCAAUUUCCACAAGACUCGCAUAUGCGAUGAUUCCUCUGCACGUGUGGUUAAUGGGCUUUAGAUCUAGGUAGAUUUGCCAUUUCACAAUAUCCUGAUUAAUUUCACCUCAUGAUGUCCAAAUCCACACCUCAAAGAGUAAGCGGACACGGUCGCAUGCACUAUAAUUUACCCAACUAUGAGUCCGGGUCGAAUUCCACAGAGAACAAUAUGUAGGUGAUUAGGAAAAUAAGAGAAUUAUCUCUUAUUUUGCUAAGCCAAACACUAAUAAAGGUGUUUUGAGAAAAUGUUAUAACUAAAUGCAAAAAUAUAAACUAACCUUGAAAGCAAGUAAAAUGAUCAAUUGCUAAAAGCAUGGAUACAUAGGGAAUUAUACUCAAGUAGCGAUCCAAUGUAUUUCAUGAUUUUACAAAUAUGAGUGAGUUUAUGUUAAUUAGCGUCGGAUAAUAGUUUUAUAUUAGCUUAUUUUAAAGGCUAAUAAGACUUCCUAAUUUAAUUAUCCCUAAAAUAAUUAAGAGGAUUAAGUUCACCCGAAUAUGGCUACAAGUAGUUCAAUCCUAUCCCUAGGUAGUAUCUAUAAAAUAAGGGUUAACGCUUCAAGUUAUUGUUAAUUAAUAUUUUUCAACCCCAACUUACCUUUACCAAGUUUAAUUCAAAGUUAAUGGGCGAGUCCUAGGGUGAGCUAAUCUCUUUGAAAACAUUAAAGAACAAGAAUAAUUAAAGAAACAAUUAACUCACUUCAAUAUUAAUGAAAAUCAUUCAAUACAUAAGCACAACAAGAGGUUUAAUUCAAACUUUUAUAAUGAAUAUUCCCAUAAAAGGGAUUCAAGUAAUGGAAUAAAUACACCACACUUAGAUAUUCAAUACAAAGCAAGAAAAUGAAGAAAUGAGUAAAAAUGGGCAAGAAAAUCUCAACCAAAGUCUUCAAAUCUUCAACUCCCAAGUGUGUGUGCAAGAACCCUAGCUCCAAGUUUGUAUUUUUGUCCAAGGAUAUGCCAGAGACAGCCAAAGAUGUGUUUCAAAUGAUCUUGGUCGUGUAUUUGGGGGUUUGAGAUAAAGAGAAUGUGAAAUGCCAAGUCUGUCCAGAGCCGAAGCCUGUUGGCCGCACCUGCGGAAGAAUCAUCGCAGGUGUGGCUCCGCAAAUGCCGAAUUUUACUUGUAGAUGCGAGUCUUGUGGAGAACUGGCUACUCCACAGGCAGACAUGUCUCGUCAGAAGCGGCUUCGCAAAUACGUAUUUCUAGCGCAGAUGCAGAUGGCCAAACGCAGGUGCGAUCCCAGUGGAAUAUUGGCAAUUCUGCAGAUGCGGGCAUCUUCUCUUAGAUGCGAACAGUGUUCCGCAUAAGCGAGAUCACUGAAUGUAUUUUCACCUCUUCAACUCACUUUUGCUCAAUUCCAUUUCAUUUGAUUUCAAUUCUAUUCAGGACUCAUUGUACCUGAAAAUCUAAUAAUGCACACCAUAAAUUACCUCAUCUUAUAAUUAAACGAUACAAAAACUAAAGAAAAGAGACUAAAAUAAGUGGCAAAAUCACCACUCAUCAACACCCCCAAUUUAAACUUUUUGCUUGUCCUCAAGAAAAUCAAAACCAAAAAUUCAAUGAGGCUCAACCAUUUAAAGCACAAUUAGCAUCACCGUUAUUUCCAAAUCACAUUUUCCAAUUAAGCACAACUUUUAUGGUUUGGUUGGUACUAAUAAUUGGGCUAUAAACAUGUGAACUUUAAUUAAAUAACUCCCUCAUUUAAAAACACAACCUCAAGAAUGCAAUUCAGUUUCAAAAUAAUCAAGUGAUAACAACCAUGCCUCAAGAAGUGACUUAAAAGCACUAGUCUACUAAAUAUGCUCAUUUUACUCAAUUUGGAAUAUAUUAAUGUCACCAAUCCAUCAUAAUCCAUAUUUUCUUACAAAAACGAAAGUCCCAAAAUCACCAUAUUUACAACAAAUACACAAGGGACAAAUGCACAAAGCCACUCACUCUCAACAUAAAAUUUCAAGUGUUAACAAAUAUAAUGCCAUAAGCUUGCCCUUAUUUUAUUUCGCCGCCAAUUUAAGAACAUUCGAUUGGAGAUCCCAUAAGGACUUUUUAAGCAUGUAAUGUAGGCUUAGAGAAGGGUAGGAUAAGAAUUUGGGAUAAAAGUGACUACACCCUCCCUGAACACUACUCACAUUUGUCUUUCUUUUUGCACUUUGCUUUUUAAAAAAAUACAUAGCCCUUAUUGACCUCUAGUUGCCAACAUUGAACCACCUUGAAUUUCGUAACUACCCUCUAGUUGUGCUUCCUUUCUAAUUUUCUCAAGACUCCCCUUGUUUUAUAUAAAUAUGUUUUUGCAUUUGUUUUGGAUCUUGAGUGUUUUCAUGUUACACAACUUCGAGGUAUUUGCUUUUACACACAAUAUGCAUCUUCACCAUUUACCAAUUGACACUAACACCCCUAACUUAGACUUUUAGCCUCAUUCAUAACAUUCAAAAAAGGACGGGUUCAAAAGAGAAAAUUAUUUCACAAAAGGGUAAAGGUUUGUAAUGUAGUAGCCAAAAAAAGGUUAAAGUCUCAAAUGGGGUUAACUAAUGAUAAUAUUUAUGCAAUAGAACUACGGUCGAAAGGCUAAAGAAGUUUUUUCAAAGAUCACAAAGAAUGUCUAAGGUCAUCCCUCCAACUAAACAUAAUUAAGAUUAGCAUUAAAAGAUCAACCAGGCAAGUUCUAGAUGAUAAAAGUAAGUACAAGAAUGUAUUAACAAAAACUAACACACAUGGCACAUGAACUAGUCAAGAUGGAUCAAUUCCACUUAUUAAUAUGAAAAACUAGAUCAAUAUCAUGCCAACUAGUGGGCAAUGAGUCACAAAAUGAGCCAAAAAGUUAUCACAAAAAUUAUUCUUUCCCGUGCCUUUUACUUUUUCAAAUUUUCAACAAACAGCUUCGGAGGGGUAUUCUCAAUUCACAUCUCACAUGAAAAAUACUAAUUUUAUUAUUAUCAAACAAUCCAAAAGUCAUACUUAAACAAGACUCAUUCCCUUAAGAAAGCUGUCACGCUAUCCGUAAUACAAAAAAGUCACUCGGUUCAACACAAAAAUAUUCCUCGGGAAAGAACUGUGGCAUAAAUAAAACCCAAAGAGAUUUAUUGACAAGUAUAUUACUACUAAAUAAAGAAAAAUAAAAUAACUAAAAACUACUAAAGAAAAUAAAAUAACAAAAGUGACUAAUUCGCAAAUAUAUCACCAAUCACAAACUAAGCCCGACAAGGGCAUAUGAUCAUUCACAAUAGUAAAACAGUUCUGACAAGGGAACAAAUUAUCCAUACAAAAUCAUAAGCCCGACAAGGGCAAAAGUCAAGCAUAGAUGUACAAAUAAAGUAUACUUCCUAAUUUCACCCCAGAUAAAAACAAUGCAAUGUCCUUACUGCAUAAUAUCAUAAUAAAAUAAGAGUUGUUUCAGGGUUUCCUUGAGGUCUGCAUCAGACUAGCAAAUUACAGGAAAAGGCUCAUCACUGCUAUGUAGAGCUCUGGGCCUCAUCAUCACCGGCAUCAUCCAACAAGAAAGAAUACUAUUAACUAUUAUCGUCGUCUUUAAUCGAUAUCUUCUUGUUCGGCUGCCCCCAUUUGAAUAUGGCCUUGAUGCCUCUCCACAUCUUUACCAUGAACUUGCCUUUAUUCUUGUUUUUCUCUUUCUCCUUCGUGAAUUCAACUUGAAGAUCGAUAUGUGCCUUGGCCAUAUGCCUGUAAGCUACCUCAAGCCUGCUAACAGAAGUUGCUAACUUCUCCUGAGACUCCGCCUGCUUUUUCUGAGCCUCCAAAUAGAUCUUCAUUUCAUCUCUAGUAGUCAGAAAUAGGUUGGGAAUGCGAGGGUUCCACUAGGGAUCUGUGACACUAAGUCAUGAAUGGACACAAGCUGGAAAUUAAGCAUCCCAAAUGGUCCCUCGGGCAGUGUUUCCUGUGAGGACUCUGAUCCGACAACUGUGGUGAUUUUGCGCUUCUUACUCUUUAUUGCAUUACCCUCUUCUGUUACUCUUAACGGAUGCAAGGGUUUGUCGGCCAGUAACCAACGAUCGGUGCUACGCACAUCAACAUCUGCCCACCGGCACAACUCUGUGAUCAACAAAGGGAACAUCAAGCGUGGACUAUUUUGUAGAAGGUACUCUGUCAGCUCCUAAAUGAUAUAAUAACCGACAUUCACAAGAAUUCCAUCAAGUAUGCAUGCAAUCAUCAGGGCUCUGACAUAUGGAACAACAGAGAUAUUACUAUAAAGUGAAACUCUGCUACAGAUUAUGUACAACCACAUCUUGGCCUCAGCUAUGAAAUUAAUGGAUUUUAAGCCCUUCAUCUUGUUGGUCCAGUUCACUCACUUGUCUGAGAGAUAAAGUUGAGACACUAGCCAAUCUCCAUUGGAGCAUGUAUCUUUUUCUCACAUCGGCUCAAGUGGAUGGCUUGGAAGCCCAUAGAUAUCAUUAAUUUGCUCAGGUCCAAAUCACAUUGUUUUGCCCUUUAUGAUGUGUUCUGGGUUGUUGAAGUUUGUACGCUUAAGAUUUGCAUAGAACUCGUGUACCACUUCCUCAUUGGCAUCGCACGGAGUAGGCAUGAAACAAGUCCAAUAAGUGGUUUGUAGAUGGCCAUUGAAAUCUGGAAGUAGCUCGACCAAUCUUUCCCCGGAGAUCCCUUAUUCAAGUAGGACCUUCUUUGUAAGAAGGUUGUCACGGUAUCGGCGAUGAAAAUCAGCGGACAUGAAAUGAUCAGUGUCAUACUGCUCUUCCACAACAUCUACUUCAAUUUCAAGGUCAUGUGCCGUAUUUUCGUUCAUGUUUGGGUCCAAUUUUGAAGCUCAAAAUACCUAAAAAUCAAAACCAAGUUAGUCGGGCAUUAUAAUCAUGUUAAGCAAUUCAAAACACUGCAAUUAGGCUAAAGAAUCAAAGUCUAAAGGGCCCAACAAGCCAUAUUCUCAAAGCUACUAAUUUUGCAUUUUCUGCCCAGUCAUCGCACCUGCAGAAAAAUCAUCGCAGGUGAGAUUCUGCUUCUGCGAAAGUUUUCUGCUUCUGCAUUCUUUCACUACUCAGUUGAUUCCACACCUGUGGAAAAUCAUCUCAAGUGUCGGGCCACAUCUGCAGCCUUUUUUUCGCUUUUGCGGUGUUCAUGAGAAUUUUCAAAGCACAAAAACUGCCAUCUUUUUAAAAUUCAAAUAACUUCUUUAGCACAUAAUUUAUACUCAAGAUUUCUAAAUUUUUUGCACUACAUGAUUACCCGACUUGAUUACACAUGAUUUCAAGGCACUUAGCACAUACAUUUCUCUUGGACAAAUCCUCGAACACUUAGCAAGCAACGAGAGAGUUUUGAUUCCUAAAAGUAAUUAGGUACUCAGACUUUCCCAUUUUGUGGUUGAACAACACCAAGCACACACAGCUAAGCUCAACCAAUUUUCAUCACCCCUAAAACUAACAUUUAUAUAGAGGGGAAAAGGGAUUGUGGGAAAACAACUAUGGAGAAGAAGUAGAAAAAACAAUAAGAGAAGAAGAAAAUAUAAAUAGAAGAGGGAGAGAGAGGAAGAGUGUAGGUGAGUUUCUUGUGUGUGAGCAAGAGAAUGCGAGCAAUAGAGUGAUAAGAGUAGUUGUGUGCAAGAGAUGGGAAGAGUUAGAGUUUGGGAGAAGAGGGUUUAAAAUUUUACCAAUUGAAGAAGGGAUGGUUGUUUAAACUUACCUGACGAGCCGCAUCUGUGAUGUUUAGAGCGCUUCUGCGGAGCCGCUUAUGCGAUAAGCAGACCGCUUUUGCACAAAACGCGCAUCUCCGAUCUUUUUCUCGCUUUUGCAGUUCCGCAUCUGCGUGAUUAUUUUUGCAGAUGCGGUUGCCCCAGAAAUCUGAUAGACAUAACUGUGUAGCACUAUUUUGGUAUGUUUCCAACAUCGCAAACUUCUUAAAUCAACUCCAAAAAAUAUAAAACUUGGCCGAUUAGUCAAAAAUAAUAUAGUAAACUAUUCUACAAAAAAGAAAAUUUAAAAAUGACUUAAAAAUUUAAAAAUGAUGGGUAUAUGCUUAACCAAUGUGCGAUCGCAUGCAUGGUCUCAUAACCGUUCUGCGGUCCGCAGAAUUGACCUUCAACGGCAUUUUUGAGCGACAUUUUCAUAGGAACUUUGACUAUUUCCCGACCAAUAUGAUGUCUGCAUAACCAUUAUGCGGUCGCGGUUUUGGCUGCAGAAAAGCAACUGAAGCUUAGCUACUUUUUCUUCACUUUCUCUACGCUCUAAGACAGACACAUCAAAGUGUUCAACAACAACAAAUAAACCUACAAAAACAAAAAUCUAACAGAAGAAUUUCUAAAAAUUGAAAAUUUUAAAAAAUUACUACAAAAUCAAAAACAAUGGGUUGCCUCCCACCAAGCGCCACAUUUAACAUCGUGACACGAUGCAAAUCAACUUUAUCACUUUUUUCGCCACUUGGAGGAUAUGAAUUAGGCACCUAACUUGGACUCAAGUUUGUGACCACGAGCGGCGGGGGUGGUAAGUGAUGAUCAAGCCAAACAUCGAUUUCAUCAUUUUGCAUUUCUUGGCUUUCUUUAGAGAAAUGUCAUUUUGCAUUCUUGAACUUUCAAAUUGUAAGAGGUAUGGAUCUUGUCUUCCUUAUUUUCACUCCCACAUGAAAUCACAUGGCUCAAUUUCCAUAUCACCAUAAAAUUUCAAAGUUGAAAAAUGUUUAGAAUGAGAUAACAACCUCCCAACUUUCAGCCUUUUCCGUAUUUUGACAUUCUCUUUUCCCCCCGAACUAGAGUCAAUUUCGACCAUCUUCUCAAUUACGCCAGUUGACUCUAAUUCUAUUUUUUUCUUGGAAUCACCAAUAAGCAUGGAGUCGGUUGGCGAAUGUUCAAAUCUUGAUUCAAGCUCCCAGCCAUUUUUUAGACUAUUUUCCAAAAUCUCCUCUAAGUCUUUUUGCUCUUUGUUUCCUUCUUCAAGUAGGCACUUCAUCAUGAGUUUGAACUCUCCGCUUUGCCCAUGAUCAUUUUCUUCCGCUUUGAAAGCCCUAUAAAUAUCACAACCAAGAAUAGAAGCAUCAUAGUGGGGGUUCGGGGAGGGGAAGAACAAACAAGCACAAUUGCCCAAAUGACCAUUUUGACCACCACACCUAUCACACAUACUCCACUCAUGGGUUUGAGAUUGUGCGCACAAUCCGCCCGUGGGAGAAUUUAAGAAUUUUUAUCACGAGUGUGGUCCUCCACAAUAAAGACAAGGGUCAUCAAAGUAUGAACAACCACCAUCCGACUAAUUUUUAUUAUGUGAUGCCAUUUUAAAAAACUACAAAAAUAAACAAGAAAAUAAAUGAGGUAAGAAAACUAACUACAUAAAUAUUCACAAGUUUGGAUAAAAGCACGUACACUUACUUCUCAAACAACCUAAAUGCGCCAAAAUGUUCCCCGGCAACAGCGCCAAUUUGGAUGACGUCCAAAUCUACUUCUCAAAGAGUGAGCAUAAAUGAUCUUUGGAAGUUUUUGAAAGGAAAUAAAAGCUUUGGAGCUAGGGUUCUUGCAUACACACUUGAGUAUUGAAGAUUUGAAGUCUUUGGAUCAUAUUUUCUUACCCAUUUUUACUCAUUUUUUUAUUUCCUUGUUUUGUAUAGAAUAUCUAAGUGUGGUGUUUUUAUUCCAUUACUUGAAUCUUAUUUAUAGGAAUAUUCAUUAUUAAAGUUUGGAUUUAAUCUCUAGUUAUGCUUAUGUAUUGAAUAAUUUUUAUUAAUAUUAAGGUUAGUUAUUCUUUCUCUAAUUAUUCAUGUUCUUUAAUGUUUUCAAAGGGAUUAGCUAACCAUAGGACUCGCCCAUUAACUUCGAAUUAAAUUUGGAAAAGGUAAUUUGGGGUUGGGAAUGAUUAAUUAACAAGAACUUGAAGCGUUAAUCCUCAUUUUAUAGAUUCUACCUAGGGAUAGGUUGAACUACUUGUAGUCAUAUUUGGGUGCACUUAAUCCGCUCAAUUGUUAUAGGGAUAAUUCAAGUAGGAAGUCUUGUUAGUCUCCAGAAGAAGCUAAUAUGGAAUUAUUAUCUGAGGCUAAUUAACAAAAACUUUCUCAUAUUUGUAAAAUCAUGAAAUACAUUAGAUCGUUACUUGAGUGUAAUUCUCUGUGUAUCCAUACUUGUAGCCAUUGACUAGGCCAGUCAUUUCGAGUAUUUUAGCCUUGUUUCCCCUAUUUUAUGCCCUAUUUAUGUGUAAUUAUAGUUAUGUGACUUGGUGGGGUGGUUGGUUUGGUUUCGGAGAAGUUUUGGAAUGAAUUGGGACACUUAGUCUCAAGGUUGGAAACUUAAGUUGUAAGAGUUUUUCGGAGUUUGACUUUUAUGUAGAAGACUCUGAAAUAGAGUUUUGAUGGUUUCAAUAACUUCGUAUGGUUAUUUUGGACAUAGCCGUAUGUCCGGAUGUGGAUUUGGAGGUCCGUAGAUUGAUUUGGUGUGUUUUGUCAAAAAGUGGAAGUUAAAGGUUUGGAAGGCUGAGAGGUUUGACCGAGAGUUGACUUUGUUGAUAUCGAGUUCAAAUUUUGGUUCUAGGAGUUGGAAUAGGUCCGGUGUAUCAUUUGGGAAUUGUGUGCCAAAUUUGAGGUCAUUCGGAGUUGAUUUGAUAUGGUUUGACAUGCGUUUUGGAAGUUGAAAGUUCUUUAGUUUCAUUAGGCUUGAAAUGGUGUGUGGUUCAUGGUUUUGAUGUUGUUUUAUGUGAUUUGAAGCUUCGAGUAGGUUCAUAUUGUGUUUUAGGACUUGUUGGUAUGUUUGGAUGGGGUCCCGAGGGCCUUGGGUAUGUUUCGGGUUGAGAUUCGAUCAAUUGUGGAGGGUGUUUUGCAUAUGCGGAGGGUUUGCCCGUAGAUGUGGAGCCACAGGAGAGGCCAUUUGCACGCAGGUGCUAGGUAAGGUGGAGUCUGGCUGGGAGCGUAGGUGUGAGGGUAUUUUUGCAUCUGCGAGCCCGCAGAUGCGGACAAGUGAGCGCAUAAGUGAAACUAGACGGAAGCUUGGGAGUCCUCAGAUGUUGACAUUGGAUCGCCGAAGCGGUCCCGUGGGUGCGAAAAGGGAUCACAGCUGCGCAUGGUCGGGACUUAAAUGGAUAUCACAGAUGCGAGAAUUGCAGCGUCGCAGGUGCGACUUAGUGGACCGCAAAUGCGGUUUUACUGGUAGACUUCAUAUAUUCGAGGGUUUGAGUGUUUUUCUUAUUUUUGGAUUUGUGGAGGUCGUUCCAAGACGAUUUUUGGAGUGAUUUUCAUCCUAAUUGAUGAGGUAAGUAAAGUUUGUGAUCACUUUUGUUGAUAUAUAUUGCUUACCCAUUAAUUUUUAUAUCUAGUUUAUGUGAAUUUAAUGUGAAAUUUGGGGGUUUUAGACUAUGUUGUUGGAGAGUGAGAUUUGACGGUUUGGGGGUCGAUUUUUGCUUGGAAUUCAUUGAAGUUGGUAUGGUUGGACUUAUAUUUGAAUGGGUGUUCAGAAUUAGUGAAUUUAUUCGGGUUCUGGGGUGUCGGCCCGGGGUUGACUUUUUUGGGUUGACUUUGUGAUUUUGAUGAAAGAUCUUAGCUUUAUCAGUUGGAAUUGGUUCCUACGACUUUUAUUGAUUAUAUUAAGUUAUUUUGGCUAGAUUCGAGCCGUACGGAGGUUGAUUCACAUGGGAAGGGCUUGUUAGAGGAGUGAUUUGGCUUGCUUGAGGUAAUCUUACCUAAACUUAGUUGAGGCACUAGUUGCUUGAAUUAUUUAUGAUAUUUACGUGAUAUGGGUGCGCAUAUGUGUGGGGUUUGAGCCCAUGUGCGAGCACCGAGGUAUUUAUCUAUGCUCUAGGUAGUGCUUAUGCUAUGACAUGCCUUGAAUUGAUUGAUAAGCUUUAUGCUGCAAUGUUUCUCAUAAUUGUAACCCUAUUGUGAACUAUUUGAUCCAUGUUUGAGGUUACACAAAGGCUAAUACCCUAAAUGAACUUGAUAAUUGCUAUUUACGAAAUGAAACUAUUGAUUUGAGCUAUGAUAGCACAAUUUGCACAUGCAUACACCUUAGCAUGUCAAUUUUACCAGUCCAGGAGCAUGAAAUAUAAUAUUCAUUGAUCAUAUACAUGUAUUCUUGUAUAUUUGCUUCUUUGUGAUAUGAUUUGGACUGAAUGCCUGUGACCACGCCGGGCAGAUUGCGUUGUUAUGCCUAUGACUACGCUAGGCAAAUAUGUGAUAUUGAGCCUGUGACCACGCUAGGCAGAUUAUGAUAUAUAGCCUGUGACCACGGGCGAAGUAUGAUUAUUGCACGUGACCCCACCGUGUAGCGUAUGGAUAUGGAUCCUUCCCCCUAGGGUUACCCUCUCAUGUUUCUCUCUUGAUGGUGUACACGUGGAUUGAGAAAAAUUGAUCAGUGGUUUGGUAGUGUAUUGCAAAUUCCAAGGAAAAUUUGGCUAGUGUUGUUGGUUAUUGCAUUUCAUCUUUACUUGCCAUUUCCAUGAUUAUUUACCUAAUUUACUUGUAUAUCAUCUUUGUAUGCUUAAUUAUCGACUGAGCAAAGAACUUGAUAAACUGUGUACACCAGGGUUGUUCUUUCUGUGCUUUAUGACUUGAUCAUGUUAUCGUUCUAUACUUGUUGCAUUCAUGAACUGUACAGGUUAUAACGAGUAUCAUUUAUAAUUCCUGUUGCUUUUACCACGCCGAGGUUAGUUAUGAUACUUGAUGAGUACAUGGGAUCAGUUGUACUCAUGCUACACUCUCUACUUAAUUGUGUAGAUCUAGGUGUCGGAUCCAGUCAUCGAUAGCGGACUUUGCUAGCUGAGUUGAUCACCAAGAGAUGAGGUAGAGCUGCAUUCUCGACCACAGUCUUGGCGUCUCUU
rnacentral:lncRNA from 1 species